GUUUCUGUUAAAUAAAAUGUCCCUUUGUGUAGUAUCUGUUCUUAUCAGCUUAAUAUCUGGUAUGGCCCUAUGAUGGGUCUAUGAUAUCAACUUUAUUUUUGGAAAGCGGCGCCGUGUACGGGGCUUGCCUUCACGGUGCCACGGGUCGUUCCGGCGUUGCACUACAGCCGGGCACGGCCCAGUGCCG